GCAUAAAAUAGAUUUAAAAUAUGAAUGCAUCUAAUUGUAAAAUUUACGGGUAUAGCAUGAAAUAGAACCAAAUAAAUGUGGACAUGCGUGGACAUAGCAUAGAAGAGACCCAAAAAGUCAUGCACAUUACCUACGGGAUUCAUAGAUAUUUGACUAUGUAGUUCAAUGUGCACAUUUUGUGCACAUAGAGGCGCUGAUGGAUAAAAACAUCUAAAACAACGCGAUGACCGCUGUCAGGUUCCUCUCUCCAGACAUCUCCAGAAAGAACCAUUUUGAAACUUAAGUUUGAAAACAGUUUGGAAGCAAUAAAAUGGCUUUUCUUUAAUUAAUAAAUUCAACUUUAGACUUAUGUAAAUAUAUAAGAAAGCACUUAAAUUUAGGCAGGAUUGCCUCUAAAAUUUUUCUUUUAAUUUUACAAUUUUUAUGAACGUGCACGCGCGACUCUAUAAAAAGUAACGGGUAAGUUGUCGCAGUGCCAAUAUUGUGCCUUCGUUAAAACGAAUGUGAAUGAAAACUUAUAAAAUUUUAGUAGUAAUAGGAAGCGGGGGCAUGCACAAUUGGACGUUUUAUAAAAUUGAAACUUGUGUGUGUACUGUAAUCAUUCGAGUGAGUUCAUUCAGCCUUACCUGCAUGAGUAUCAAUUACUCGACCUAGAGGUCAUUUAGUAAGAAGAUAGCGUUCAUCAAUGACCAAAAUCAUGGAAUCUUUUGAGAGGCAUGGAAUAGGCUGAUUCCACUUGUAAAUGGAAUGAUAACGCUAUAAGCUGUGUAACAAUCUCAAGGAAUGACUCAAGAACAAUGAUGAGUGCAGAAUGCAUGAGAAAAUAGCCAUGGUAUCAGAAUAUUAAGAUCAUCUCGAUCAUCACUGAUUGGGCACAAGGGCCAAAAAUUGAGUAUAGCCUCUAUCUGAGUGAGGAGAGUUGUUAUUUUUUCAUAAGUAAGUAAAACUUCUACAGUUUGCUUGAGCAAGGGCAGUUUUUUUUUAGGAGGGCAUGGUAUAAAAUAUUACUUCUAGAUUAACAAAUGUAUGUAUCUUUAUACAUUUUUUAGUAUUAAAGCUUUCUUACAACCACGACAAGCUGUAAAUAAAAAGUUUUUUAAUUUGUUAUUUUGUUUUAUAUAUUUUUUUAUAUUUUAUUACAUUUUUGUGCUUUGUUAAAAAUUCAAAUUAUUUAGACGUUUUAUUUAAUGUACAUUAAUUAAAUUUGUUUAUAAAUUUAUUUAUAAAGCCUUUAUCAUUAGCAAUCAUUUGCCUAUGAAUGUAUAACAUACAUAAGCAAUUAGUUCUUAAUGCAAACAUUGUAGAGCGGAGUCAUGUUUUCAACUUCGUAAUGUGUUAAAGGAAUGAUUUGGCAACUUUAAUCAUGUUUUCUACAUUAUUGAUCUCAUUAUCAGUUUCAUUAACAAUCUUAUGUGAUACUAGCCCAUUAUAAACUACUAUCACUCUUAUCGAUCUCUAACAAUAAUUUCUCUCGCUCUUCAUGUGUCAAGGGUUGGAUAUAAUAGGAAAAGAUUGAAUAUAUACUUGUUUUCCUCGGAAAAUAUAAUUGUAAGAGAACUAACAAGUGAAUCUAACAUAGAAAGGAAACGCAAACGAAUAGGCUGUCCCUGUCGCUAUCGUCUAUUCACUGCAUAUUUCAAUAACCUAAUAUGUAUGCAGAAACGGAAAGAAAAUAUUUAACCGAUUUUUAACGUAAUCCGAAUGUAUAUAUGCAGACGUAAUAAUAAUAAUGAUAAUAAUAAUAAACCAGGAGAUGAUUCUCAAACGAGGUCCUACCUUUGGCAUUCAAACCGAUCGAGUCCAUUGCACCUUUAUGUAGACAUAAUUAUAAGUUUUUUUUUUUAGUUAAACUAAUUCUGAGUUUAUCUUUGUCUUUCUAAUGUGAAGGAAAGAAGAUAAACUUUAAACUAAAGUGCAAUCAAUUGAUAGUUAAUUAAAAAUAUUUUUUUAGUUCUAUCCACUUGCACGUGUUUUCAUACAUUCAUUCACUUUAUAGAUUUUUAUAACUGGUUAUUUUAAAUUUUUGUACAGUGCAUAUAGAAACGGAUAGUUACAUUAACAUAUAGAACUGAGUCGCAUCGUUCCGUUACAGAUCAGUUAGAUAAAGUUAGUCUUUCUUUUCAUGUUAUACAAUCUGCAACAUUUUUUUUCUAUUUAUAUUUAUAAAUGUAAGGAAAUAAUGAAUAGUAAAACAAACGGAUAGGAUUCAUAGUUACAUCAGCGCAUAGAUUCGGAUAGUUCUUUUUACAGAUCAGUUAGAUACAGUUAGUCUUCCUUUCUGUUUUUUGCAUAUACAAUCUGCAAUAUUUUUUAUUCGUUUCUAUCUGUAAAUGUAGGGAAAGAAACAUAUAAUAAAACAGUUAGAAAUGGAUACAGAAUGCAUAUAUUAUUCGUUUCCAAUAGAAUUUUUACCAGGGAUAUUAAAUCAUCAAAAAUUGUAAAUAGUGAAAUAAAGAAUUUAUUAUGAUCAUGCACUUUAAAAA